rnacentral:misc_RNA from 1 species
GAUGAAGAACGCAGCGAAAUGCGAUAAGUAGUGUGAAUUGCAGAAUUCAGUGAAUCAUCGAAUCUUUGAACGCACAUUGCGGCCAUAGGUAUACCUUUGGCCAUGCCUGUUCGAGCGUCAUUUACACCCUCAAGCCUAGCUUGGUGUUGGGCGUCUGUCCCGCCGUUUUCGCGCGCGGACUCGCCUCAAAGUCAUUGGCGGCGGUCGUGCCGGCCCCCUCGCGCAGCACAUUUGCGCUUCUCGGAGGCCCGGCGGAUCCGCGCUCCAGCAAGACCUUUCACGACUUGACCUCGGAUCAGGUAGGGAUACCCGCUGAACUUAAGCAUAUCAAUAAGCGGAGGA